rnacentral:rRNA from 1 species
GGUGAGUAACACGUGGGUGAUCUGCCCUGCACUCUGGGAUAAGCCUGGGAAACUGGGUCUAAUACCGGAUAGGACCAUGCUUUAGUGUGUGUGGUGGAAGGUUUUUUCGGUGUAGGAUGAGCCCGCGGCCUAUCAGCUUGUUGGUGGGGUAAUUGCCUACCAAGGCGGCGACGGGUAGCCGGACUGAGAUGUUGGUCGGCCACAUUGGGACUGAGAUACGGCCCAG